AGCAUCAUAUAAGUUCACAAGUUGUAGAAGUAUUUUAUGUAAAAGCAAAAAUAAACAUCUUUUCCUAAAGAUUUUUUCCUCCUUUUUACAAUUUUAUUUUCCAAAGAAAAGUAUUCUGGAAGACAUUAAGAAAAAAUGAACUGCCUGGAGUCAUUAGUUACCUCAGGGCUCCUCUGUAGUACUUUGCACAUUCCAUUAGUCUUUGCAGUUGUGGGGGCGGUAGGAGUCAUACUGUUUGGGGUUUGGAGCUCUGAAAGCAGUGAAUAAACUCUGAUUGAGAUUUUAAAAUACUCUUUGUUCACAGUGAUGUUGAUGCUCUGAAUUCUUCUUGGAUUAAGGAAUAUUACCUACCCGUUUUUGGAUGUAAGCAGACCUGGUGUGUGUUGAGAAUGCUGAGAAACCACCUCUGAUCCUUGACAAUGAAGCUGCUGAAAGGUGCACCAUGGUCACAUAAGAACCAAUCCAGAAUUCUAUCAUGGGAAGAUUACACUUGGUUCUGUUCUGAAAAGAGAAGGAAGAAGAAGUCUGGGUUCUGUUAUUCUUUUCCUCAGCUCCCUGAGCCAGCGCCACUGGACCUGACUUAUUCCCUCUGGAUCUCAACAUUUCCUAGGACCUGUCUCACCUGCCUUUCCUCUGGACCACUUCUGAUGCCUUGGAACAGGAUCGUGCAUUUAUCUUCUCCUCCCUCCCCACAGGGCAGGCCACAGAGCCUUCUCCCAAGUCAUCCUUCCUUGUCUCCAAGGCUCACGUGACUUUGCUUCCAGGAAGCAUCUACGGCUUACUUCCAUCAAAGUUCAUCAUUCCUAUGGCACUUGUGAUGUGAACGGAGAACACAGGAUCUGCAUUGUGGUCUAAUUUUUUUCCCUAUGUAUUUUGUCCUUUCAGUUGACUGAGAAACAUCUUAGGAAUCUGUUCUUUCCUAGUUUUUGCCAGCACACAAUAGGGCCCCUUUUAACAUGUAUAAGAAAUUCCAAAUGAACAAUCAAUAGGACUCUGGGGUCAGGAUCAAAACUAAUGAUUACCUUUGGGGUCUGAUUGGGAGAAUUACAUUGUUUCUGAAGCAAGAGCAAACUCUAGAGGAAAACUAUAGUUUUAGGGGAAGAUAAUGGCAUUUUUAGUACAAGGAGUUUGGGAAGCAUUGCAGAACGUGCAGUUGGAGAGUCCUGUGAAGGAUGGGAGUUGGGGCAGCUGGGAGUCACCACCAUGGGGUAGAGAGUGUUACCUUUAUCAAGAUGUAGUUACUCAGCAUGGCCACCGAACCACUCUCAAAACAGUUGGGAGCAUGUAUCAGGCACAAAAGCUCUCCUUGGAGGUAAAUAAUCUCUGCAGAAGAUGAAACAUUACUGUGCUAAAUAAUUGCAUAAGAUUAUUUAAAUAAAAAUCCAAGAUAACAUAAGCGAUGUGCAGUCCAGUGCAUAACUAGUUGACAAGUGAGAAAUACAGUCAGUAAGUCUCAUUUGUUCCAAAAAUGGAGAACACAUUUUAGGCUGGAGAAAUCCAGGGUACAAACUUAUGCUGCAUCUUUAAAAAUGGCAGAGAAGAGAAAAUUGCAGGUGAGUGCAAUUCAUUUGCAAAAUGGGAAGGGGGAGUGUGUAAGUUAACUUUGGAUGUAUUCAGAAAUGUCCAGGAGAUUCCAGCUAUAAGGAGAUUCCAGAAUAAGGCUGUAGCUACACCAAGGAGCCUCACCUGUCAGACUUUAACAUAGUUUUGCAAAACGUGCUAUAACAUGAAGCAAGGGUGCCUGUGUUAGAAGCCACAGGGCUGGGCUCUAAUCCCGCUUCACCAUUUACUCAUGGUUUGACCUUGAACAAGACAUUUAAUCUUCCUAAACCCCUGUUUCCCAUCUGUAAAAUCAAUCCCUGUCUAUGUUAAAGGGCUUUUGUGAAGAUCCGAAGAGAAAACAUUUGUGAAACUCCCCCAAACACAGCUGUUAAUGGAUAUUGGUUACCAUCAUGACUUCUGACCUUUUUAAUACACACUGUGCCUUCUCCAUUCUCUGAAUUCCCAAAGCCCCCAAAUGCUCAUGUUAUUAAUUUUGACCUACCUGUACCACCUGUUAUUAUCUCUUAAUUGCUUCACGAAUGCGUAGGAGCUUCUUAAUUAGAGAAAAAACUCACUGUGGGCAAGGGCCUUAAUCUUAGACAUUCGCCGAAUGCUCAGAAUAUUGUGGGCACAUCCUGGGUACUGAAAAUGUUGUUGUCAUGAUUGAUUUCUAUGUCCAGGAAGACCAAAAUAAUCCCCAAAGAUUUCCCAGAGGAAGUAGAUCUUGGGG
rnacentral:lncRNA from 9 species